rnacentral:rRNA from 1 species
UACGGAGGGUGCAAGCGUUAAUCGGAAUUACUGGGCGUAAAGCGUGCGUAGACGGUUACAUAAGUCGGGUGUGAAAGCCCCGGGCUCAACCUGGGAAUUGCAUUCGAGACUGCGUAGCUAGGGUGCGGAAGAGGGAAGCGGAAUUUCCGGUGUAGCGGUGAAAUGCGUAGAUAUCGGAAGGAACACCAGUGGCGAAAGCGGCUUCCUGGUCCAGCACCGACGUUCAGGCACGAAAGCGUGGGGAGCAAACAGG